UACGAAGGGGGCUAGCGUUGCUCGGAAUCACUGGGCGUAAAGCGCACGUAGGCGGAUUGUUAAGUCAGGGGUGAAAUCCUGGAGCUCAACUCCAGAACUGCCUUUGAUACUGGCGAUCUUGAGUCCGGGAGAGGUGAGUGGAACUGCGAGUGUAGAGGUGAAAUUCGUAGAUAUUCGCAAGAACACCAGUGGCGAAGGCGGCUCACUGGCCCGAUACUGACGCUGAUGCACGAAAGCGUGGGGAGCAAACAGG
rnacentral:rRNA from 1 species